GACGAACGCUGGCGGCGUGCUUAACACAUGCAAGUCGAGCGGUAAGGCCCUUUCGGGGGUACGACGAGCGGCGAACGGGUGAGUAACACGUGGGUGACCUGCCCUCAGCUCUGGGAUAAGCCCGGGAAACUGGGUCUAAUACUGGAUAUGACUCCAUGACGCAUGUUGUGGGGUGGAAAGCCUUGUGCGGCUGAGGAUGGGCCCGCGGCCUAUCAGCUUGUUGGUGGGGGAUGGCCUACCAAGGCGACGACGGGUAGCCGGCCUGAGAGGGCGACCGGCCACACUGGGACUGAGACACGGCCCAGACUCCUACGGGAGGCAGCAGUGGGGAAUCUUGCGCAAUGGGCGAAAGCCUGACGCAGCGACGCCGCGUGAGGGAUGACGGCCUGG
rnacentral:rRNA from 1 species